rnacentral:rRNA from 1 species
AUUGAACGCUGGCGGCAUGCCUUACACAUGCAAGUCGAGCGGCAGCGCGGGGGCAACCCUGGCGGCGAGCGGCGAACGGGUGAGUAAUACAUCGGAACGUGUCCAGUAGCGGGGGAUAACCUGUCGAAAGAUAGGCUAAUACCGCAUACGAUCCACGGAUGGAAAGCGGGGGACUCUCGGGCAACUGAGGGCCUCGCACUAUUGGAGCGGCCGAUGUCGGAUUAGCUAGUUGCGGGGUAAAGCCCACCAAGGCGACGAUCCGUAG